ACGUUUGCCAGAGUCCUCAAACAUCGUGGGGCACGCAAGACAAAUUGCCUUUUUGUCGGAGCAGCGCGGAGGGCAGGGGAAAAAAAAGCGCGGAGCGAGUUUUUGCCUUUGCCUCCCCGCUCCACCCCUUUUCCCUGGGCGAUCGGCAAAAGCCAGAGGGUGGCAUGGGGCAGGGUUGCCAACAAGUAGAAGUGGAAUUAAUAGGAAUAAUGUACUCCAAAGAUAUUUUUUUGCCUUUGAGUUGCAGAGUUUAAAUAAACACUCACAAACGUGGGGAGAAGGGGGGUGUUAGCACACACAGCCCUUUCUAUUGAUGGAGUUAUUGCUGCUAACAGAGAAGAACCACCCCAAUGGUAUGGGUAGGGCACACGCACCUUCAUAUAUGCUAUAAAACAAAGCCAAACCCAAACCCACACGUUGCCUUUUACCAGAGCCAUCUUUCCAUCAAUAACUUCUUUCUUGCCACAGUCAGCCAGGUGACGUGGGCCCUGCUCCACCUGGUACUUUCCUGUAUCUUCCCUGUUUACAGCCACCCUGUCCCCUCCGGGCACAAACAUUGUGCAAUUGACUUUCUCUGGUAUAUUUAGAAAUGUGAGAUUUGGGGUAUUUGAUCACUGAAAUUUGGAUGUUCCCCUUGGUGUUCUCCAGCUAGGAUGGAGAAACGAGUCUUCCCCCAGUGACACAGAGGUCCUUGAGCAUCCCCGGACCGAUGGCAUGGCAGCCACUGGGGCUGCAGGUUAAUACACAUAAAGUAACCUGUGUGUCUCCGAGAGAGGAUCGGGGCUGUUUUCUGAAGAAGCCUAUAGGUAAAGAGACAUCCGUGCACGCACACGAGAGGAUUCACGAAGGCAGGGACGAGAAUAUAAAGGCAUUAUUUUGAUGUGACAAGCCCUGCUUGGAAAAGGUCUUCGAUUCAUCCAAACAAAGCGACAGCCACCCACUACCCCCGUGCAAACAAACCAUCAUGACAAAAAUCACCGAGCCGGAGAGAGAGACCAACAGGUUGUUGCCACUUUUGCUGCCUUUGCCUCAGAGAAGUCGGGUAAUUCUCCGGCCCCUUUGAAAUAUGUCUUGUCUGCACCGAAUUUCUGCCGACAAACCAACCAAUAGAUACGGACUUAAGAAAUAUUUAUUAUCGUUGAGUAAGGUUUUCUUUUUCCUUAAUCUGAGGCAAUUAGUACCUGAAUAAACACAGACUAAGUAAUCUACCUACUCAAAAGGUAAUUAGACUUGAAAAGCGCUGUUUGGCUCUACCUAAGGAAAGCACGGCUCUGAUUUGGAGAUUCGCUUUCAUCCCUAUUCCCUUUUGCCCUGGAAAACCUUUUAUAAAAUCGCUAUAACUUUUAAUUUCUCCCCAUGCCAAACCCGGGGGUGGGGGGGUCACUCUCGGCCGUUGCCGCCCUCUUCCCCCCCAAAUCUUUCACCCCGCUUUCUCAUUUUUCUUUGCCUCUAAUCUAAUCACUAAUUCCUUGGCCGGGCCAAACAGUUAAAAAUGUUAAGUGCUUGCUCACAAUUCCUGCUGCCUCCCCCUCGUAUCUGUCUCUGUUUAUGGAACUGGGCCCUGUUUUCCUCCUGCUCUUGUUCAGCUGUAGGUCUGCAGGUCAGGAGACUGUAAAUACACACAGCGCUGCCCCAACCCAUAAAUCUGAGCAAAGGGCAGCCUUAUAUAUUCAGAUAAGGGAUGGAAGGGGGCGGAAGGUGGAGGGGAAGAAAAGAAAAGGGGGGAAAAAGAAAAAAAAAAGAGAAAAGCUAAGAACAAGCAGACUCGGGGGCGAAGGCGGCGUUUUGCCAGAAAGACAACCCAAGGUGCCAGCCGGCGCUGGGGGCGAGCCUGCGGCGCUCCUGCCGCCUCCCCCCGCGGGGUGUGCCAGCGAGAGAGGGAUCGGAAACGUCCCUCCUUCUCCCACCCCUCCUUGUUUGUAUAGAAAUCGUUGCAAAAUCCAUUUUAUUACCUUUGGGGCAACGAAAUUAAACCAGAGAUUUCGAGGGCUUUCUCUCCUCCAGACCUUUGUUGGUCUGUUUUCUCCCCCCCCCGCCCCCCGCUAUUUUAUUUCCAGCACCUCCGAAGCUUUCAAGGGAACAGUUGUCCCCCCCCGUUAUUGCUUCUCAGUUCCAAGGUCUUAGAAUAAAUAACAUUGUUAUUACUCACUUCACCAAUUUCCAAGAAGAAAUAUUGCUGCAGCAAAUGCGAGCAGCACUAAUAUUUGCAAAGUGAUAAAUGGAUUGUUACAUACCUUCCCGUCUGUGUGGCCUCCAGCCAUCCUCCGGCCGGCUACAUCCCUCCUUGGGGUUGGGAGGGAGGGUGCCUUUGAACUUAGCAGGGUCCAGACACUUCGUGCCUUGCACGAGAGCCUGCCCCCGGCCCCCUCCCUCGCCCUCGGAGGCAGAGAUCAUUUUUAAUGGCAAGACCCCGCCAGAGAUGGGACCGGGGAGAGCAGGAGCCACGUACCGGCACCCUUUGGCGGUCCUGCCUCUGUGGGCACAGUUGUUUGGUGGGAUUUGUUAGCGCCGGGUGUCGCAGGGAGAGGGGCGAGAGGCUGGGGGCGUCCCCGCUGCAGGGUACCACAUCCCCGGUGUCACAGCAAGAGCCACCUGCCCUUCUCCAGCUGCCAGCGCUGUGAAAAGCGGGCAGAAAAAGGCUUGCGGGGGAGAAAAAUCAUUUUUCAAAUUGCCCCUGCUCUGCCCCCAAAAUGCCUGAAUGGAACCGCAGUGAAUACCUGAGGUACCAGGGGUACGGAUGCUCGGCUGGGUGAAAACUGGAAAAGACGUAUUCCCAAUUGCCGUCUCCCUCACUGUUCGCCGAAUCUCAUGAAUUUGCAUGAAAUUCUCGGGAAACUUUCUUACCCAACGCUGAGAUAAGGGAGGUGCCGAGGCGGGAGCAGUCUUCGGGCCUGCUCACCCCAAAGGUGGUGGCUCACUGCAUCAUUUCUGAGCUUAAAAGGUGGCAAUUGGAAAAUUCACACUGAAUAAUUAAAAAACAAUAAAAUUGUGGAUUUUUUUUUUUUUUAAGAAGCAAUUUUAUCUAGCUGCAAGACAUGGUUCGGGCUCCUCAAUUUUAUUUAAAACAAAAUCUCCAAAUCAAAUUAUACCUGGGAUGUGAGUCAUGACGAAAAACACUCUGAAUGUGUGGGAAUUAAAAACAAAGUGAAAGAUUUUGCUUCAAGACCCGCAAAGAGUAACCUGCUGAUGUUUCUCAGACCAAGCCCAUUACGUUUCCCGGCAUGGGACAGGGGCUGGCAGGGUUUGGUUUGCUGGUUUGAAUUCCUUGGCUGGGAUGAGCACCUCCAGCUUUGGUUGUCCAGGCACCAGAGGUGAUGUAAAAGCUUGUUCUCCCUGCACAGAGCAAAACUGAGCUGCGCUGGGAGCAUCAUCCCCACUCCCCUGUGUGGCUGGGGUACCAAAAGGUGCUAAAGCAUCCUUCAUCACGCCGCCUUCCCGGGCUUUUUAUCCUGGUACAGCUCCUUUACUUCUCCGGAGGCUGGCAGAAGCCUUAGGAGAUACUCACGUGCAGGUCUUGAGAUGGGAGGAGGUGACGGAUGUCUGCAAAGGUUUCAGCAACCCAGGGUGAAGGUGUCGGCACAGUCUAGUACGUGGAUAAGUCUGUGCCCGAGGGGAUGGGGAAGGUGGUAGGCUGACAGGCUGGGGCUAUGUCUUUGCUUGGCGUUUUUUCCUAAGGGGUACCUCGAUCCAUAGAAGAAAGAACAGGAUUCAAGGAUCGCAGGAAGAAAAUGACCCAGAAAGUGUGGGCAGAGGUAUGAAAGGGUCAAUCAGAAGAGGUGGCAAAAAUACAUCUGACAGUUUUUUCCUCCCGAUCAAGGGAAAAAACUGAUCAAAGCAGGUGAGAGCCGGGGCAGAUGCAUCGCAGGGAGCUGCCUACUGUUUGGAAACAUCCAGAAAUCUCCCUAAAGAUUUCCUAACUCCAGGAGCGGGGCUGGGAAUGCCGUGAGACCACGUUUUCUUGAGCGAUUCCUGCCAGGCAGGAAACCCUGCGGGAGCAGCGUUUCUUGUGCUGCUCCCCUUCCAGCCCCAGGAAGGACACAGCAUUGAAUAGGAGUGUCUGUUGAGCAAGAACGGGGUAUUGCUGCUGGGGCCAGAAGAUGAUGAUGUUUAAAGGGGAACGGGACCAGCCCCUCAGGAGCAAAAUGGCAGCUGAGAUGCCUCGGACAAAGUGCACGCUGCCAACAAUUUAGCGGACAAAGCAGCACGUUCCCGUUCCCCAAACAGCGCUGGAGGAUGCUGAUGUGAUAUUUAUAUUCAUGGAUCUGAAUUCAUUGAAGUCCACGUGGCAAAUCUUCCUUCAGCCUCCUGGGGAAGGACGGUGGAAUCAACCUGAGAUGCCAGGAGCAGAAUCCAGAAGAAAAACACCAACAAACAUGCAGCUUGUAAGAAAGCCCUGAUGCCUGCCAUGUGGUUGGACACACCACAUGGUUUACUUUACAGGUAAGUAAAACGCAUUGACUGAGCAGAUUUAUAUUUUUUUCCCCUAGCUAUUUUAUUCAAUGCCUUUUGGAUCUUACCAGCUUUCAUUGCAAGCCAAUGGGGCUUUGGGCAACCUGGUCUGGUGGGAGGUGUCCCUGCCCAUGGCAGGGGGGGUGGAACUAGAUGGUCUUCAAGGUCCCUUCCAACACAAACCAUUCUAGGACUCUUCAUGCUAUAUGCUGUUCCAAUGAAUGGUGUCCCAAAAACAACCGAAGGGUUGAAGACUCCUCCAUACCAUACACCUGUCCCCACCCCUGUGUCUGAUAUAGGGACACGAACAACACCCCUGGCAGGCCAGUGCAGCAGCCACGGGCUGUGGCUGCUGGAGACCCUGUUUGUGCCAAGGCACAGCCAACAGCUCCUGCAGCUAUGAGGACGGUGCCGCUGCUUCUUUCAUUGUCAUUUCUCCAUCCACCCCCUUGCGCAGCCAUGGCCAUGCAUGAUUUCUCCCCAAGAGCCCUCAUCCCUCGCUGCUGCUCCGAUGCCCCACGCACCCCAUCCCAGCAUGAUGUGGGAUGCCCAGCACUGAAAAAAAACCCCUCCCCAGCUAAAUCCACCCCCACCUUGAGCUUCCUCAAGCGAGGGUGAGAUCUCCAAGUGCCUGAUCCCUUCUGUCCUCGGGCAGGUUUGCACAGAUGUGCGCUGGGUUCCCAGCCCUGGUGUCAAGUUCAGAAAGAAAAACCUCUUCCAAGCUUCCUUCCCAAUGGGAUCAUUUUUGUGGCUAAUGUUCCUUCAUGCACUAUCUGUUAUGCUGUUAUUAAAGCACAGCUUGCCGACAACUGGGGAAGAAAUACGCUCCCCACACUGUGACGCUUCCUCUGCCCGGCUCGGGAGCAGGAACCAGGCUCAGGGUGGCUGCCUCUCGCCCGCCUUCCUCCAGAUAAACUUUCCCUGCAGAAUGAAAAACGGUCAUUUGUGUUUCAGCAGACCAUAAAAACCCCGUUUGAAAACUUUUCAAGCCCUUUCCGAGUUGGAACUGCCUUGAAAGUCUUCAGACCACAUUGCCAUAUGGGUCGGUGGCAUAUGGUUUUAGUGCAUGCUAUGCUGCCGUUCCCGCGCCGCUGCCCUCCCCCUCCACGAUGGGACCCGCAAUGCUGCAGGGAUUUAUUCGCUAUAGGAUGCUCCUUAACAUCUCCUUGCACUCCCUCCAGCUCCGUGCCGCAGCUUUCCCCAGUCGUUCGCUGUGGUUAACCUCCCAACAAGCUGGUGGAGGCUCCCUGCACCUCGAGGUACAGGCAGCUCAAUGCACACAGAAAAAAAGCGUCCUCUCCCCCACUCCGACAUGCACAUAUCUUUUUUCUUCCUCCUUGUCCAUCACAGGAAGCAUUUCAAAGCAAAGAAAUGUGUAGUCUGUUUCAGCUGUAAAGUUUUGCUUCAUUUCUCUGUUGUGAACCAAAACCUUUUGGAUAUUUGUUUUUUUUCUCCUCUUUCUUCCCACUUUCAACACCACUUAGAGUGCUAGAAAGAGAGGAAUUCAUUUUUUUUUGUUUGUUUGUUUGUUUAACCUUCCUCUAUCUUUUAAAGUCCUGUUCCAAGUCCUGUUCCUACUCUCCUU